UUGACCAAAUUACGUGCCAGCAGUCGCGGUAAUACGUAGGAGACUAGUGUUAUUCAUCUUUAAUAGGUUUAAAGGGUACCUAGACGGUAAAUCAAGCCUUCUUAGGGACUAAUUAACUAGAGUUACUUAUGAGGGGGUAUUAAAGUACUGCUGGUGUAGAGAUGAAAUUCUGUCAUACCUCUUUUCGUAUGAAAAAUAAUGGCACAGGUAUAGGCGAAAGCAUCCCCUUAUGUGAUAACUGACGUUGAAGGACGAAGGCUUUGUGUCGCGAACAGGAUUAGAUACCCCAGUAGUCAAAGCAGAAAAUGAUGAAUGUCAUAGAUUAGAUAUAAGAUUUUUUAUUCUAUAAAUGAAAGUGUAAGCAUUCCACCUCAAGAGUAAUUUGGCAACAUUGGAACUGAAAUCAUUAGACCGUUUCUGAAACCAGUAGUGAAGUAUGUUGUUUAAUUUGUUAAUCCGCAAAAAACCUUACCACAAUUUGAAUAUUUAUAUAGCUUUUCUCUCUUUGACCUAUAGAUUGAGAGAUAGAUUGAUAGAUAAAGGAGGGAAAAGGAUAUAUUUACAAGCGUUGCACGGCUGUCUUUAGUUAAUGUCGCGAGAUUAUGGUUAGUACCAUUAAAUUAACGUAAACCCUUACUUUAUUUUUUAUAUGAAGUUGUCCCCGCUAUACUGGAUAKGAUAGGUUGGA
rnacentral:rRNA from 1 species